CCGCGCUAGGGACCGUGGUUCGUGGUCGAACUUACAAAAAUCCUCCGAGACUGAAAAGGAACCGAUGACUCAAAGAAGAAAUUCAGAGGGCGUGCAGAAAA